rnacentral:rRNA from 1 species
AGUCAACCUAACUCGUGGACGUGGAUAACCUCGGGAAACUGAGAAUAAACCACGAUAGAUCAUAGUGCCUGGAAUGGCUUAUGGUCCAAACAGUUUACUGCCAUGGGAUGGGACUGCGGCCUAUCAGCUUGUUGGUGAGGUAAUGGCCCACCAAGGCGAUUACAGGUACGGGCUCUGAGAGGAGAAGCCCGGAGAUGGGUACUGAGACACGGACCCAGGCCCUAUGGGGCGCAGCAGGCGAGAAACCUUAGCAAUGUGCGAAAGCACGACUGGGUCAGUCCGAGUGAUUCCUGAUAAAGGAGUCUUUUGCUUGUCCUAAAAGCACAGGUGAAUGAGGGGUGGGCAAGUCUGGUGUCAGCCGCCGCGGUAAUACCAGCACCUCGAGUGGUCAGGACGUUUAUUGGGCCUAAAGCAUCCGUAGCCGGCUCUGCAAGUCUUCGGUUAAAUCCACCUGCUCAACAGAUGGGCCGCUGGAGAUACUACAGAGCUAGGGAGUGGGAGAGGCAGACGGUAUUCAGUGGGUAGGGGUAAAAUCCUCUGAUCCAUUGAGGACCACCAGUGGCGAAGGCGGUCUGCCAGAACACGUUCGACGGUGAGGGAUGAAAGCUGGGGGAGCAAACCGGAUUAGAUACCCGGGUAGUCCCAGCUGUAAACGAUGCAAACUCGGUGAUGCAUUGGC